UUAAUUGAAACCAAAUAGAGGUACUUCACUGUUAAUGAUGUCAAUGGAUUUCACACCCAAUUAAA
rnacentral:tRNA from 1 species